rnacentral:lncRNA from 1 species
AGAGUAUGUCCUGCCUGGAGGCAAGGUAGCUUGGCUUUUACAUUCCUUCAUCCAUCUGUCACUGGCUAUGGGCCCUCCUGGGUGGGCUAUCACCUCCCAAGCACUUCCAGCUCUCCAUAGUGUUAGGGCAGUUGCAGUAGCAAAAGAGAAAUUUCUGAAGAAGGCUGCUACAGAUACUGCUGCAGCAGUAUCUUCUGUUGCCAUCCAGAUUACCAUUUCCAUUCUCAGCCUUCUGAAGAAGGCUGCAGUUGGAAAUAAAGCAUGUAAAAGCUGGGAAUGGGAGCACAGACCCUGCAAAAGGGACAGAGGUGGCAACUCUGGUGGCAGCAGCAGUAUCUGCUACGUCCUCUUGGGUUUUAUAGGCACCAGCAAAACACAUCUUUUGUUAAAAUGGUGGCCUUCUGACGGGAAGGGCAGGUCUACUACUGAGGUCAAAAUUCAUGUGUUAUUUUUGUAAGCAGCUACUAAAGCAGUAUCAGUCCAGAGAAACGAGUCUAUCUUUGAAGACCAAAUACCCAAAAGAUCUGCUUCAACCUUCCCCAGUUAAUCUUUUGCCAGAAGAUUCACAAUCUGAAUGUGGCUGCCUGUCCAUCAUUGGAAGUAAUUGGAAAGAAAACUUUGCCUGAAGCUACAUGAGAACUGGAACCCUUAAAUCAUGAAUGGUGGCAAGAUUCCAAAAUUAAUUAUGAAGACUAUUGGAAUGAUGUAGCAUCCUUUAACUCUUAUUGUGAUCGACAGAAAGUAUCAUAGAUGGACAACUCACUUUCCCUUUGCUCUGUGCUUCCUGGUGAUUUUAGGUCACGUCCACUCUGAAAUCUGAGCUGUCAUUAAAGCCAUGUCUUCGUGUCUGUCUGUCUGAAGCAGCAAAGAUGAGACAGUCUGUCGCUGUGUGUGACCCCAGUGAGCCCCAUAAGCAGAAGGCCCUGAGUCUCAAUUUGUUUCUUUUGAUUACUGGCAGAUCACUCACUGUGCCAUUUCUCUGAUGUGACUGAGCAUAUUAGCUGUGCCCUCCCCUAAUUAUUCAUGCUUCCAAUGUUACCCAUUCAAAAUUUAUGACCAUGAGGAUGGUGGGUUAGAAGCCUGAGGAACUGAGGCUCAAGCCUGUUGCCAGAGAUUUACUGUCAUUGUUUUAGGUGCAAAGUAUUAACAGGCAGGCCAACUCACUUCAAUUCCUGACUUAGUACAUUUAGUGGAGAAUUAGUUGAGAAUGAGUACAUUUUCCCUGACACAGCUGCAAAAUCAAACACACGAGGAGUUAUUGAAAAACUGGGAUUUAAGCUUAAACCUAUCAUUUCUAUAUCUGAUGGGCGCCAUCCCAUAUCUGUGAAAAUCUGACAUUGGGGAAGUGAAAUGCAGGCUUAAAAGAAUGCUUUCAAGGUGCAUAGCAAAAGCAAUCUUACUCCUUUAGUGUUUCCCAUUUAAUACUUUUCAAUUUUUAGUUAGUUAAUUAAGGAGAAAAUCACUUAAUAAUCACAUAACAUAGAUUGCUACUAUAAAUACCUGUAUUGUCUAUGUUACAAUUUUCGCAUCUAUUUUACUUUAUUAUUUGUAAUCUGUUGGGUUUUGUGACCUUGUGCUCCAAAUGAUUUUGCAUCUGUAAGGUGGUUGGGAGUUAGAUACCCUUCAUCAUAUCUUUUGCCAUCUUUGAGUGGCUUUUUUAACCUUUCCUUUUAAAAAAAAAUCCCUUAAUCCACAGUCUAAUAAAGUAGGAAAAACAAUCAAUAAAGCAUACCUACAAAAGUUCCAUUUUAAACUUUUAGUGAACUUAAGUUUACUCAUAGUGCAUUUAAUCUUCCUUUCUGUCUGUCAGUUAGCAAAUAUUUAUUAAGCCCCAACAAUAUAACAGAGACAUUGCUGGCUGCCAGGUCAGGGGGCAAGAGCCAUGAUGCAUUUCAUCUUACUUUGAGGCUGUCGGUCUACAAAUAUUUAUUGAGCUCCCAACAAUAUGCCAGGGACUUUGCUAGCUGCUGUGGAUUCAGAGAUGAAAAGACAUAGUUCCUUUUAUUCACAGAAUUUACAGGAGUGAUACAAACAAAACAACAUAGGAGACAUAAGAUAUGUACUCUGAUUGUCUUGGUCUGUUCAGACUGCUAUUACAACAAUACCUUAGACUGGUUAAUUUAUAAACAUUAGGAAUUUAUUGCUUACAGUUCUAGAAGCUGGGAAGUCCAAGAUCAAGGGCACCAGCAGAGUCAGUGUCUGGUAGUGGUCUGUUCUCAUAGAUGAGUGCUUUUAAACUGUGUCUGCACUUGUCAGAAGUGCAAAGGGACAAACAGGCUCCCUCAAGUCUGUUUUGUAAGGACACUAACCUCAUUUGUGAGGGGAUGUCCUCAUGACUUAAUCGCCUCCCAAAGGCCCUACCUCUUAAUACGAUCACAGUGGGAGUUAAGUUUCAACAUAGGAAUUUGGGGGGAACACAAACAUUCAAGCAACAACAGUGAUGAUGGUUAGGCCAAGAACGGUGCAGUCCUCAAGGAGAAAAGCUUUAUAUCUGCUAGGGAGAGUAAGGAAAGUAGCCUUGGAGCUGAGGCUUGGUGCACAGAGAGGAGUUUGCCAGGCGGAUAAGAGCAGGAGAGGUCUUUCAAAGCAGGGGAAACAACAUGGUCAAAAGCAUGAAGACCUGCCAGAGCUUCCAGAAUCUAUCAGAGACUUUGAGUUGUUGGAGAAUGAAGUAUAAGGCAAGGAGUGACUGCAGCUGAGGCAUGGUUGGAUGAGGGUCAGAUUACAAAGAAACUGUAUAUGCUGUUCAAAGUGGUUCCUAUAUUUUCUUCCUGCUGGUUAUUAGAAGGGCAUGUGCCCCUUUUAGGAGGCAUCUGCUAUGGUUAAGAUAAUAGAAAAGGGAAUUUUCCUACAACUCAGAUUACAUAGUUGCGAGUGAGACACAUUCCUAGGUCCCUCUCCCCAAAAAGCCUUCAGAAUUGGAACAGAUUUUUUGAUGGUGAAGUUUGUGGUGACAUCACUGGUUUGCUGCUCUAAAGGCCACUGGAAUUAGGAAUGCCCGUGGAUGAAAGAUAUUUUUUGCCAUGGACUUAGGAAUCUGGGUGUGAGUAUUUUCUCAUUGGUGGGUCAAGACUGACAGCUGCCCUCUGCAAGCUCUUUGAAAAGGUAGGAAGCCCUGAAGGACCUAGGUGAUGCUAUUACUUGAUGGCUCAAGCAGAUCUUCACAAAUUCAAUACAUGAAAGAUAGGAAGUAAGACGUAUGAGUGAUGGGGGAGUGAGGUUAGAGUGGUACAUCUAUCAUAGACUGGAUAGAAAGGAAAGAAAAGCAGAGGAGGGGAGGAUACACAACUUGGCAAUGUCGAGAUCCAGCCAUCCAAACAAGCAUGGAAGUCCUUGGUGAAGCUUGACUCCCAAGGGGCAUUGCUUUGCAUCAGGCACCUGCUAGUCUCUGUAUGCAAAGACAGCAUGGCUCUUCUAGACUGUAAUGAAUAGCCACCAAAAUCUCUUGGAUGUGAACCUGCUGACUUCCCUUGUGAAAACUAUGCCUAAAGGUCAGUGAAUCCUGUUUUGGAGCUGCUUAGGGUCACUAACACCAAGAAAACUUCAUACUUCACUUUUCUCUUAUCCCUGCAGAAUGCUGGAA